GGUUGUAUAGUGUAAUGGUUAGCACAUCGGAUUCUGAUUCCGGUAAUCCCAGUUCGAUCCCGGGUACGACCU
rfam:Aureobasidium pullulans var. pullulans EXF-150 unplaced genomic scaffold scaffold_7, whole genome shotgun sequence.